rnacentral:rRNA from 1 species
GACGAACGCUGGCGGCGUGCUUAACACAUGCAAGUCGAACGGAAAGGCCCUGCUUUUGUGGGGUGCUCGAGUGGCGAACGGGUGAGUAACACGUGAGUAACCUGCUCUUGACUUUGGUAUAACUUCAGGAAACUGGGGCUAAUACCGGAUAGGAGCUCCUGCUGCAUGGUGGGGGUUGGAAAGUUUCGGCGGUUGGGGAUGGACUCGCGGCUGACCAGCUUGUUGGUGGGGUAGUGGCUUACCAAGGGUGUGACGGGUAGCCGGCCUGAGAGGGUGACCGGCCACAUGGGUACUGAGAUACGGCCCAGAGUGCUACGGGGGGCAGUAGUGGGAAAUCUUGCACAAUGGGCGGACGCCUGAUGCAGCAACGCCGCGUGCGGAAUGACGGCCUUCGGGUUGAAAACCGCUUUCGCCUGUGACGAAGCGUGAGUGACGGUAAUGAGUGAAGAAGCACCGGCUAACUACGUG